GUAAGGAAUAUUGGUCAAUGGACGCAAGUCUGAACCAGCUAUGCCGCGUGAAGGAUUAAGGUCCUCUGGAUUGUAAACUUCUUUUAUCUGGGACGAAAAAAGGUCUUUCUAGAUCACUUGACGGUACCAGAUGAAUAAGCACCGGCUAACUCCGUGCCAGCAGCCGCGGUAAUACGGAGGGUGCAAGCGUUAUCCGGAUUCACUGGGUUUAAAGGGUGCGUAGGCGGGCAGGUAAGUCAGUGGUGAAAUCCUGGAGCUCAACUCCAGAACUGCCAUUGAUACUAUCUGUCUUGAAUAUUGUGGAGGUAAGCGGAAUAUGUCAUGUAGCGGUGAAAUGCUUAGAUAUGACAUAGAACACCCAUUGCGAAGGCAGCUUACUACGCAUAUAUUGACGCUGAGGCACGAAAGCGUGGGGAUCAAACAGGAUUAGAUACCCCGGUAGUCCGG
rnacentral:rRNA from 1 species